GUGCUACACAUGCAAGUCGAGCGGUGAACCCUUCGGGGGGAUCAGCGGCGAACGGGUGAGUAACACGUGAGCAACCUGCCCCUGACUCUGGGAUAGCCUCGGGAAACCGGGAUUAAUACCGGAUAUGACAUCGCCUCGCAUGGGGUGGUGUGGAAAGUUUUUCGGUCGGGGAUGGGCUCGCGGCCUAUCAGCUUGUUGGUGGGGUGAUGGCCUACCAAGGCGACGACGGGUAGCCGGCCUGAGAGGGUGACCGGCCACACUGGGACUGAGACACGGCCCAGACUCCUACGGGAGGCAGCAGUGGGGAAUAUUGCGCAAUGGGCGAAAGCCUGACGCAGCGACGCCGCGUGAGGGAUGAAGGCCUUCGGGUUGUAAACCUCUUUCAGCAGGGAAGAAGCGCAAGUGACGGUACCUGCAGAAGAAAAGCACCGGCUAACUACGUGCCAGCAGCCGCGGUAAUACGUAGGGUGCAAGCGUUGUCCGGAAUUAUUGGGCGUAAAGAGCUCGUAGGCGGUUUGUCGCGUCUGCUGUGAAAACGCGGGGCUCAACUCCGCGCCUGCAGUGGGUACGGGCAGACUAGAGUGCAGUAGGGGAGACUGGAAUUCCUGGUGUAGCGGUGGAAUGCGCAGAUAUCAGGAGGAACACCGGUGGCGAAGGCGGGUCUCUGGGCUGUAACUGACGCUGAGGAGCGAAAGCGUGGGUAGCGAACAGGAUUAGAUACCCUGGUAGUCCACGCCGUAAACGUUGGGCGCUAGGUGUGGGGCUCAUUCCACGAGUUCCGUGCCGCAGCAAACGCAUUAAGCGCCCCGCCUGGGGAGUACGGCCGCAAGGCUAAAACUCAAAGGAAUUGACGGGGCCCCGCACAAGCGGCGGAGCAUGCGGAUUAAUUCGAUGCAACGCGAAGAACCUUACCAAGGCUUGACAUGCAGGGUAAUCCGGCAGAGAUGUCGGGUCCGCAAGGGAUCUUGCACAGGUGGUGCAUGGUUGUCGUCAGCUCGUGUCGUGAGAAUGUUGGGUUAAGUCCCGCAACGAGCGCAACCCUCGUCCUAUGUUGCCAGCGCGUGAUGGCGGGGACUCAUAGGAGACUGCCGGGGUCAACUCGGAGGAAGGUGGGGAUGACGUCAAAUCAUCAUGCCCCUUAUGUCUUGGGCUUCACGCAUGCUACAAUGGCCAGUACAAAGGGCUGCGAGACCGUGAGGUGGAGCGAAUCCCAAAAAGCUGGUCUCAGUUCGGAUCGGGGUCUGCAACUCGACCCCGUGAAGUCGGAGUCGCUAGUAAUCGCAGAUCAGCAACGCUGCGGUGAAUACGUUCCCGGGGCUUGUACACACCGCCCGUCACGUCACGAAAGUUGGUAACACCCGAAGCCGGUGGCCUAACCCUUGUGGGGGAGCCGUCGAAGGUGAA
rnacentral:rRNA from 1 species